rnacentral:RNase_P_RNA from 1 species
CGAGUUGGCCGGGCGGUCGCGUCGGCUCGUGUUUCGGCACGGGUCGCCGAGGAAAGUCCGGACUCCGCAGGGCAGGGUGGUUGUCAACGGCAACCCGGGGCGACCCGCGGGACAGUGCCACAGAAAACAGACCGCCCCGGGCGCGCAGGCGCUGCGGGGUAAGGGUGAAACGGUGGUGUAAGAGACCACCAGCACCCCGGGUGACCGGGGUGGCUCGGUAAACCCCACCCGGAGCAAGGUCAGACAGCAGGCGUUCGAGGGCGGCCCGCCCGAUGCCUGCGGGUAGACCGCACAGAGCCCGUCGGCGACGGCGGGCCGAGAUGGAUGGCCGCCGAACGGGCCGCCGCAAGGCACCCGGGAACAGGAUCCGGCUUACAGGCCAACUCGUCCG